rnacentral:rRNA from 1 species
UACGGAGGGGGCUAGCGUUGUUCGGAAUUACUGGGCGUAAAGCGCACGUAGGCGGCUUUGUAAGUUAGAGGUGAAAGCCCGGGGCUCAACUCCGGAAUUGCCUUUAAGACUGCAUCGCUAGAAUUGUGGAGAGGUAAGUGGAAUUCCGAGUGUAGAGGUGAAAUUCGUAGAUAUUCGGAAGAACACCAGUGGCGAAGGCGACUUACUGGACACAUAUUGACGCUGAGGGUGCGAAAGCGUGGGGAGCAAACAGG